rnacentral:lncRNA from 1 species
GUAGAAGGCAAGAGAAUGAAUAAUCAAACACCACAGUAAGCUACGGACACAUUCCCUAAGCAAAUAGAAAUAUAAAGAAACCAAAUUAUUAGGCACAUUUGUGGGGAAAUCUUUAUUUCUUAGGUGAUUCAUAAUUCUAAACUGCAAUCCUUUAUGUCUUUGAUCGUACUAGGUGAAAUCUGUACAUCACACCAUGAAAUUGCUUCUCUACUAGUUACUUUUAUUCUGAUAUUCACAGGAAACGUAAGGACGCCACAUGGUGACCUCUUUUCUUCUCAUAGAGAACUCUUUGAAGUCUAAUCCUAUGAAACGCAAAUGUCCCAGGCCAAAAAUGCAACUACUUUCAGCUUUUCUACAUAUUUCUCAGGCUCUUUUCCUCUAAAAGAUCAUCAACCCAAGAACCUGUAUAAGAAAGAGUAAGUAAUUAAAAAAUAAUUUAAUAGAUAUGAGAACCAAUUGAUAUGUGUCCUCUAUACAAUUAACAAAUCAUAACCCAUCCAUUUGGACUUUCUAAUUGUGGGUAACCUAUUUCCAUGUUCUUUCAUAAAUCUUCCAGAGGAAGUCCACCCACCCAACAAGUUAUAUGUCAUCCCCUAGCUCUAUAAACAUUUCACUGUUACUGACUGAGUAUACAGUCUACCAAUUGGUCAUUUCUCCUUCCCAUUGUAUCAUCGAUC